rnacentral:lncRNA from 1 species
CUAAUCUUUGCUGCUCAGCAAUUCGGAGAGGAGAGUCCAUUGUCUCUCUGGGUUGUAUGAGACAGGGGCGCUGGGAGGGUGGCAGGAGGAAGUGGAGAAGGAAGAAGCAGAGGCUGCAUGGAGAGAUGAUGAGGACCGGGCUGAGCAGGGGGAACCCCGCCCACGCCGUCCACUUGCUGCAAUCAGAGUGGGAUGACAGAAGGUCAUCGGGUGGGAGGGCUCGAGAGGGCCUCACAGCCAUUAGUAAUACUGUUUAGGGGCUUUCCCAAGAUGCUUUGGAAAAACACAUCCAGGCUUGAUGGUCAUCUGUCCGGAGAAGCAGACGGGAAGGAGCUUGUUCCUGGUCCCACAGUCCCUGACUGCGCCUCCAGUUGGCAGCUGAAACCCUUCACCACCAUAGAGGGUAUUAGAAAUACAGGGGACGUAGGGAGAGAAAGGCUAAGAAAGAGAGGGGAAAAUGGACAAGCGGAUCCUAAAAUUCAGGUGGAAAUGCAAGGAGCUCAGAAGAGCCAACCUAAUCUAGAAAGAGAAACACAAAUUUGGAGGAACACUUCCGGAUUUCGAAACUUAACUGCACGCUAAAGUCAUCAAGUCAAGUCGGUACUGGCAUAAAGAGACACAGAGGUUAUGGAACAGAGUUGAGAGUCCAGAGAGAAACCCUUCCCUAUAUUUACCGUCAGUUGAGUUUUGGCAAGAGGGCCGAGUCUGUUCAAUGGGAAAGAACAGUCUUUUCAACAGCUGGUGCCGGGACAACUGGCUUUCCACAGGCAAGUAAAAGAAAGUGACCCCUACUUCAUACCACACACAAAAUCCAAUCAUUAUGGAGCGAAAAUCAAAAUGGGAGCGCUAACACCCUAAAACUCUUAGAAGAAAACAUAGCUGUACGUCUUCACAGCCUUGGAUUAAAUCACACUUUCCUGGCUCUGACAUCAAAAGCCCAAGCACGCAAAGAAAAAGUAGGCAAGGUGGGCUUCUUUAAAAGUAAAAACUUGUGUGAAUUGAAGCACCCCAUCAGAAAAUGGAAAGGCAACGCACGUAAUGGGAGCAUGUAUUUGGAAGGCAUCUGAUAACUCGAGCAUCCAGAAUAUAUAAACAAGCCCACAAUACCAAGGUAAGUAACCCAAGUUAAACUAAGCAAAGAAUUGCACUAGACAUUUCUCCAAAGAAGAUGUACACAUGGCCGUAAGCACAUGAAAAGAUGCUCAGUAUCCUUCUCAACAGGGAAAUGUCAAUCAAAACCACAAGGAAGUUAUCACUCCCACUCCGUAGGAUGGCUCUGAAAGAAAACAACAGAAAACAGAAAGUGUUGGCAGGGAAACGGAGUCCUUCCUACACCGCUGAUGGGAAGGCAGGAUGGUAUCACCACAAUGGAAAAGUUUGGCAGUUCCUCAAAACUUUCAACACAGAGUUGUAAUGUGGCCUGAUCAUUUCAUUCUCAGGUACACACCCUAGGAAACUAAAAACACACAUUCACGCAAAAAAACGUGCAUGUGAAUGUUCCUAGCAGCCUUAUUCACAGUAGCCUCCAAAGUGGAAACAACCUGAUGCGCAUCAACUAGUGAACAGAUAAACACAGGGGAUC